GAUGAACGCUGGCGGCGUGCCUAACACAUGCAAGUCGAGCGAAGCGCUUAAAUUAGAUUUCUUCGGAAUGACGAUUUUUGUGACUGAGCGGCGGACGGGUGAGUAACGCGUGGGUAACCUGCCUCAUACAGGGGGAUAACAGUUAGAAAUGACUGCUAAUACCGCAUAAGACCCCAGCUUCGCAUGAAGCGGUGGUAAAAACUCCGGUGGUAUGAGAUGGACCCGCGUCUGAUUAGCUAGUUGGUAAGGUAACGGCUUACCAAGGCGACGAUCAGUAGCCGACCUGAGAGGGUGACCGGCCACAUUGGGACUGAGACACAGCCCAGACUCCUACGGGAGGCAGCAGUGGGGAAUAUUGCACAAUGGGGGAAACCCUGAUGCAGCGACGCCGCGUGAAGGAUGAAGUAUUUCGGUAUGUAAACUUCUAUCAGCAGGGAAGAAAGUGACGGUACCUGACGAAGAAGCCCCGGCUAACUACGUG
rnacentral:rRNA from 1 species